rnacentral:lncRNA from 1 species
AGGCAGGAGGUGGGGCAGAGGCAAGACGCUGGCAGCCAUGCAUCUUGCUAGGUCUUUAUAGCUGUGUCUCUGGAUUUGUAGGCCACUCCUCGACUUUUCAGCUCUCGCACGAUUCCUGUGGCAGGAAAAGAAACAGCUCUGUGAGGGAGGAAGAUUCCAGAGGAUAAGAAAAGUCCCUCUACUACCACUUUGUGGGAAGAAACGUGUUCCUAAGCAAAGUGGAGUUCCUAGACAGCUCAUCAAUGAUCCUGCCAGGUUGGCUUGUUACCACUGAAGAUUCAGGCAAGUGUCUGGCAAUGACUUGGUAAAAACGAGAGAAAAACAGAAGACACGUUGUAGUCAUUGAAACCAAGGGUUCUGGAGCCAAAAUGCCUGGGUUCAAAUUCUACCUCCUUACUUAACUAGCAGGUAACCUUGGACAAGUUAUUUAACCUCUCUGUGUCUCAGUUCCCUCACAGAGGUGUGAGGACUAGCGUGCAAUCACAACAAGGACUUCCUCAGAACUUGGCACAGUAAAUGAGUAUCAGCUGCUAUUAUGAUUAUUAUUACCUUGGGGUAGGCGACCAGUGACUGACACUGCAUACACACCCGGCUUAAAGUUACCUAAGAGAGAAGAAAAGAGAUGGCAGUGAGAGUAAGUUAAGUCUAAAGACCAAAUGGAGGUUUAAGCUCAAAACGAAAGAAAUGCUGCAGCGCCGCGAGAAGAGCAAUCACCUCUUUUGGCUACAGUGUUAAAUGACAGGGGACAGGACACUCUCAUCUUUCUCACUCUGAGGACACGUACCCAAUGAUUUAAGACUCCCCCACUGAACCCAAGGGACAGAAACAACGCAACUAGGAGAAGGAAAAGGAGAAGGGAGAACUUACUGACUCGCUGCCACUUAGACACCCAGCUGUCCUCUGGACUCAUCAUCGCAAUGAUUCUGGGAAAGGGAAAGAAACAGAAGUCACGCUGAGCCUUGCCCACUAGAGAAGAGCGAUGGAGGAGACUGCCCACAUUACUCUGCUACAGGCCAGCAAAAUAGUUCUGGGAGAAGAAACACAGGAAAAAGCCAAGUAUUGAGUCUCUGCUAGAAAGCAGGAGAAAGUGACUUCUAAUGCUGCGAAGGAGCUGACCAAAAGUUAGUACUGAAAAAGUUUCUUUGCCCGCCAAUCACAAGUCAGUCAUCAUCCCCAAAGGCCUAGCUUCACCAGGCUCAAAAACAUCUUUAGCCCAGACUCCCGGGGAAACCAGCUCUUCUGAUUACAACCAACAUGACCACUAGGGGGCUGGCCUUAAUGCAAAGGCAGAGGGUGAAUGAAAACAAUGGGUCCUCCUACCAGAAAUAAGUUAGACUGGGCCAAGAUCUGCCUCUAAUGAGCUGUGCAGCCUAACACACAAAUGAAACUCAAAGACCAAGCUAAUACAUGAAAAGCACCUAGCACAGAAUAGGUGCUGAAUAAACAUUAACUCUCCUUAUUAUCCUAAUAGUUUUUCCCAGGAUACCUCUGAUUCUAGAGCACGGGCAACAGAAAGGCUACUGAAGAGCUAGAAGCCUGCCUUUUGGGCUUGACAUGUAAACAUCAGGUACUUUCAGAAGCUUACAGAGGUCAUUUCUGCCAUUUGUUGAUUCAAUCAAAUGCUUAGUGAUUGCCUAUUGUGACAGGUCUGUUCUAGACACUGACGUUUGUUGAUUACCUCCUCAAUAACCAUUCCCUCUUCUCUUGGCAACAAUCUUGGAUUCUUAUUUGGGGGGCCUUCCUCCCCAUCCAAAUCCUACAUUCUCAGUCAUACACUGAGUGGAACUGAUCCAUUCUCCAGGGUGGUUACGCAGGGUAAUACUUGCCCUGGCCUGGCAGACUGAUGUGCAGCAGACACAUAUGCAGGCCAUUCUCCUGACCAAAACUAUAUUCUCCUCUGUCCUUCACAACCAAUCUUUCUAGCCCUAUAGUGUCUGUUACCCAACCUUAUGAUUCAAUCUAAACAGAAUUCCCACCAUUCUCCAAACAUACCCUAGUUUUCCCACCCCUGAUUUUGCUCAAGUCAUUCCCUUGUUUAGAAUGCUUUUUCUAAAAUGCUGUCUCACCUCACCUUCCUCAAAAAACCUGUACUUCUUUAAGAGCCUGAUUCAUAUGCUAUCUCCUCUGCUUCUGGCUGAGUUCAUCUGGCCUUCCUCUGAUCUCCAUUAGCCUUUGAUAUACCCAUUCUCCAAAACCUAAUAUGCACAGGGAAUACACAAAUAACUCCCAACAAUUCAACAGUAAAAAGCCAAAUAACCUGAUUCAAAAGUGGGCAAAGGACCUGAACAGACAUUUUUUCUGAAGAAGAUACACAAAUGGCCAAUAAGUACAUCACAACUGAUUAGCGAAAGACAUCACCAAUGAUUAGGGAAAGACAAUCAAAACCACAAAGAGAUAUCACUCCACACCCAAUAGGGUAGCUUCUAUCAAAACCAAAACAAAACAUAAAACAAAAAAUAACAAGUGUUGGGUAGGGUGUAGAGAAACUGGUGGUGGGAAUGUAAAAUGGUGCUGCCACUACGAAAAACAGUCUGACGGUUCCUCGAAAUACUAAACAUAGAACUCAGCAAUUCCACUUCUGGAUAUAUAUACCCCAAAGAAGUGAAGGCAGGGACCUGAUCAGAUAUUCGUAAAGCCAUGCUCACAGCAGCAUUAUUUGUAACAGCCAAAAGACAGAAGCAACCCAAGUGUCUAUCGACACAUAGAUAAAAUGUGGUAUAUACAAAAAUGGUAUUAUUCAGCUUAAAAAAUGCUUCUGACAUGCUACAAUAUAGAUAAACCUUGAAGACAUUACACUAAGUGAAAUGAGCCAGUUGCAAAAGGACAAAUAUUGUAUGAUUCCACUUAUAUGAAGCACCUACAGUAUACUUCAAAUUCAAUCGCUUCUCGGCCUUUUGGCUAAGAUCAAGUGCAAAUUCAUAAAGAAAGUAGAAUGGUAGUUGCCUGGGGCUGUGCGGAGGGGAAAAUGAGGAGAUGAAAAAAGUUCUGUAGAUGGAUGGUAGUGAUGGCUGCACAACAGUGUGAAUAUACUUAAUGCCACUGAAUUCUACACUUAAAAAUGGUAAAUUUUCUGUCACACAUAUCUUACAACUUUAAAAAAAAAAAAUUCUAACGUGCAAAACUUUACACUGCAUCUCUUACUAGUAAAUACAUCACUGUGUGACUCUUGACAUCCUUCAGAGCAGCCAACACAGUACGUUACCUGUAAAUGGGAGUUCUUUUAUUCAUUUGUUAGCAAUUUUGUUACAGUGCAAACAAAUAAUCGAAGGGACUGAAGAUUCUGCCUAUGCACAUGCAUGUGUAGGAAGUAAGAUUCCAUGACAACAUCUUUUUUGCCCAAUUCUUCAUGCUUCCUUAAAGGAAAUCAAAGAAGGGAUGGAGUUGGCCCCAUCUUGAAGGUUCAGCAAGUACUGGGUUUGAGCCUAGUCUGUGUGUAAAUCUUCAAUUGGCCUGGAGACCAAGAGACACUUUAAAGUAUCUCCUGAACCCCCCCAAAAUACUGCCCCUUGGCUCCUACCUUGGGGGAAAAAUGGAGACCUGGCUACUUAUGUUACUCUCACUUCCCUUUCUCCCCAUUGGACAAUCUCACUAAGGGAAAAUUUUUCUUACAGGUUCUCUUAGACAUAUCUAAACGGAACAGCUUUUGGGCGAUAAUUUACCAUUACUCUACCUGACCUUCAUCUUCAGAAAGGAUCUUCAUGCAUUCAACAAACAUUUAUUAGCCAUUUGCCACCUUCCAGGCCCUGUGCCAAAUCAUGGUGCACAAGAUAAACACAGUCCCUACCAACAAUGAGCUGACCGUCUUUAAUGAAGAACUGUACGGCAGAAAUAUAAUGAAAACCACACAAGUCAUUUUAAAUUUUCUAGUAGCCAUGUUUAUGAGUAAAGACAAAAAGAUGAAAUUAACUUCAAUACCAUAUCUCAUUUAACCCAGUAUAUCCAAAGAAUUAUCACUUUGGCAUGUAAUUAAUAUUUGAAAAAUUAAAAUAUUUUAUAUUCUUUUUUCUCGUUCUAAGUCUUGUCAAUCUAGUGCAUAUUUUGCAGUAUGAGCAAACCUCAGUUUGGACUAGCCACAUUUCAAGUGCUCAAUGCCACACAUAGUUAGUAGCAACUGUACUGGACAGCACAGGACUACUAUGUCUCAAAAUAACUUUGAGAACAACUAGGAUUAUGGUCUCAAAAGUCUGCCUCACAUUUACUUGGUGGGGUGGGGUGGGGUGGGGGUGGGUGUAACAAAGGAUUCUAAAGGGGCUUACCCAUCAAAGGAAGAACUGGUGCAGUCAUAUACCAUCUCCCGGUUACCCUUCAUCUGAAGGUAUGCAUCACAAUUGUCACAUCCGUCAUAUUCAAACUGGUCUAUAGUCUAGGAGAGGGAAAAGAGGGAGAAGGAAUGAGCAUAAACAAGGCCAAAAAAGGAAGUAGCUUUCUCCAUACUUCUACCUGGUCAAGUAGAAGCCUCCCUAUGUUGGCUCUGUCUCAUCAGAUUCCCCACCCACCACUCCCACAGCCCCAUUGCUAAAGUUCCACCCUCACAGUCCUCCCUCUCUUAUUACCAGCUAUGUUUUACCUACUCCUUUCCCUAGUCUCCUCAGGGUCAGGCAUCCUCUCCGACUACUCCCUCAGCUGCAGAUCCCCACCCUCCUCUGAAUCCCAGUGGCCUUCGGCUUCAACAGAAGUUCACUGAAUGUCUGUUAAGGAUCAGACCUGUGUGCUGAGGAUUCAAAAUCAUGUAAGACUGCCUGCGUUCCUCCCGACUUAAACAAAGGCCUCCAGCAGCUUCCCACAUCCCCUGCCAACCCCCGGGGUCCUGGACCUUACUUUUCCCUUCGCUAUCCCGCAGCUCCGUUUCACCUUUUCCCCCACCUUGAUACCCCAUCGCCCCUACAACCGCCUCCCCGAAGGACACCUUGACCAGAGAACACAGCAAACAAGCCCGUAGAUGCCGUAAGUCCUUCGGCACCGUCUCCAGGGCCAUCCUCUCCGACAAAUGAACAGCAAAGAUUUGGGCCACGGCCUCCUCAGCCGCAGGAAGUAAACAGCGAUUUACCCAGAAUGCCUUCCACUUCCGGUUUUCCGCACUUCCUGUUCCGGUAUGGGGAGCCGCGGACUCACGCCUUUCUCUCUCUCUCUCUCUCUCUCUCUCUCUCUCCCCCGGCCCCCCCCCCCGGUCAAGGAGAUGGUUUCUCCCGCCUGGAGGCGGGGCCGGCCGGGAGUCACCUGGGCCGGCGCGCGCACCCGCCACCUGGGCGGGCGCGAGGGCGAGGCCGGGAAGGCAGUUGCGCCUGUGGGUAGGGCCCGUGGGGGAGGGGUGGCGCGGCUGGCGCCUGCGCGGGAGCGCGCCGCGGCUCCGGCCGGAACUCCCGGCGGGGCGGGCCGUUUGAUCUAGGCCGCUGGCAGCCGGCCGCCGGUCCCCUUAGGAGGAUCCCAGAUGUCAGCCGAGAUUCUUUUUUGUCUUCCCGUUUUAAAAGCGCAGGGCCAGAGUCCACUGUCUCCAUCUGGAUUAUCUCUGCAGAGAGGAAAAUCAGGGACGGCCCCUUUCUUUCCUGAGAGCAGUAAAGGGUUUCCAUUCGCCGUCCACGGGAAUGCUGGCUUGUGAGCCCAUGGCGGAUACCAGGCCCAUUAUUUUUGAAAACUCUUUACGUACUUUCCUUGUUCCAGCUGAUAAUUUGUUUCGUGCAGCAUUUAGACACAGGUCCUUUACUUCAGAAUAUCUGUAGGGGAUUGGAGAUUGUGUUUUGUUUUGUUUUGAUUUCACCCUAUAGCAAGCUGGAUGUUUCUUUGCUCUCCUGUUCAAAACUGGGCAACAGACAAUGACCACCCCCUAGGAAACCUGUCCUGGAGAAGCAGAGGGGGAAAUGUGCUUUGUGAGGAUGAGAGCAGAGGCUGCCCCAGGCUCUGUGGAAUUCAUACCAACAUAGCACCAGCUCUUGAUCCUCAACCAUAGUCCCGUGGGGAGGCAGAGCACAGUCAUUUGUGUUUGUCAGAAUUGGAGCUCUGGGAUAGUUUCAGUAGUUUCAGGCCCUACUGUUCUAUCCUCCCAACCAGGCGUCCCAACUGAAACAGAGCUUUUUCAAGGGGGGGGGGGGGGGGGGCGUGUGUUCAGAUGGGUUCUGUGACUGGGGUUAGAAUGUUCCCUGUCACUGGAUACUUUCCAAACAUACUUUCACGCUUAUCUCAUGGGAGCCCUGCAACCACUCUGUGAAGUAGGCCUAUUUUAUGGGUGGAAAAAAGUGAGGCACAGAAUAUUUGCCCAAGGUCACAAAGUCACUGAAGCAUCAUAAGAAUGUGUGAAGUGAAAAGUACAGUAAGUCUGAUAACGACUGGACCACAGUGUGAAUCUUGUCAUGCUUCCCCCUUCCCUUAUCUCACCAAAUCGUUUUUAGGGGCUUACAAAUCAAUUCUUGUUACCUAGUCUACCACUCUGUCCUGUCCUUUCAUAAAUCAGAGCCUAGCCUCUGAUACCAGAAAUAAUUUAUUUCUGUCAAUGGAGAAGAUGAAUCUGUUACCCUGAGUGACAGUCAUGAGAGAACAAAACCACAAGACCAGACCUCAUUUAUGGAUAAAUAUAUUAGCAAAUAAAUACAUUUCUCAACAUA